AUGUGGGUCCGACGCCUGCCCAAGUCUGACAGAAGGAGCUGCUCAGAGUCUCUACAGUGUGGUGCAGGGAAGGGGUUCUCCAUGAUGUUUCUGAUCCAGCUUGUUAAGUCUCUUCCUGUCUCUGCCUGUACUGUCUACCCAGUACACUCCAUGUAUGACUGCUGAGGCAACCACAGUGUAAACGGUCUGGAACAACUCCCCGGAACAACACACAUCAAAGGACCUCAGUCUCCUUAGCAGCUCCCUCCGGUAUAGAGUCUGUUUUGUUUAACCAGUCCAGUUGAUCGUUUAGGUGAUAAUCCUUCCACCAUCUCAAUGUCUGAGCUUUGAUUAUUCACCAGUUUUUGUGUGGUGGAGUGUGCCUUCCGACUCUUCAACACUGAGUCCAAACUAACAGAACAAGGGUUCAGAAGCAAAGGAUUCUGUAAUGUCAUCAUCAGGAACUAAUCAGGAGGCAUCAGACACUUUAAACAGACCAAUCACAUGUCACCACCUGCUGCUCAUCCCUAACACAAACUGACUAACACAAGUCAGUGGUUCUGUUUUAGUGUGUUUUUAAUUCUUUCUAGUUCCAGGGUCCUCUUCCACAGUUCCACAACAGAUGUAGCUGUGUCUCCUCUGUCAUGAUGUUUGUCUUCAUUAGUCAUGAAACCAGUUCAGUCAGGUCCACAUUCCAAUAAGUCGGCCUCAGUCCAUCCUCAACAGUUCAAAGCCAAAAAUCCAGAUCAUGUUUGUUCUAAUGAAGUGAACAUUCAGGUUUGACCAAAGUGACACAGAGUAAAAGUUGAAAUCAGGAAGCAGCUCAGUCUAAAGGUCGUGAUCUUAGAGAAUCGGUACCAGUGUUCCCAGCGCCAGUGACCCAGCUCAGGCACCUCCCACUCCACUGACUGGACUCUUUAAUCUGUGAGGAGAACCAGGACUCAGAGUUUCUGCUGUCACCACCACUGCUGUAAGUCUCUAAAGGUCUGCUUUUUGUUGGAACUUAAGCCGUAUGAAUACAGUAGGGUCUGCAGUUGAAACCAAUAGAUAGAAAGGUUUUACUGAAGGUUUACCUUUACCAUUUUUAUUUAUUUAUUUUGUUUUUAGGAAUUUUGGUCUUAUUUGUUACUGUAGAACGUUUGUAACAGGUUUAGACAGAUUUUAAUUUCAUUUUCAUUUUCAUUUUUGAACAAGGAAGUAGUCAGUUUGAGGAGUUAAAAUGUUUGAAUCUCCUCCAUGAUUUCUUAAACUCACAGUAAUUCAGUAACAGUGAAUGUAUGUUGUAUGUUGCUCCAUCAUCAUACUGGGCUGCACCUUUAUGUCUCCAUGUAGUGAUUGAUAGUAGAAGAAGAGCAGCUGGUGGAAGCUUCCUCUGCCUCCAACUGUCUCUGAUAUGAACCAGAGUGUGUGUGAGCUUAUGUGAAUGUGAAAUCAGCAUUAUGAACCAACAUAAGGUCAAAGAGGAGGGAGCCCUUCCCUCUAAAACCAGUCUGUGUGGGGACCAUGAGAGCCAGAACAAAACUCUGAGGCCCCAUCAGAGACAAAAAUCGGCUGAACAUGAACCUGAACCCAGCUGUGGGCCUAUAAGGAGGGUUAAGUCAAUGGACCAUAGUAUUGGUUUUAAUGACCAAACUGAAUCAGAGCCAAAAGUGGACCAGCAGAACUCAGAGGUUCCCAGUGCUCAGUCUGUCCAGCAGCACCAAACACACCUGGACUCCAUAUUUAUGCUGCUGGAGGAAAACAUUGUUACGUUUGUGAAGAAGGAGCUGAAGAAGAUCCAGAAGGUUCUGAGUUUAGAUUACCCACAAUGCUUAGAGAGUCAAAGGGACGAUGAAGAGGGGUUGGAUGGUGAGGAUUUAGAGCAGAGGAGGAGCAGCAGAGACGCAUUUCUAAAGAUCACAGUGAACUUCCUGAGAAGGAUGAAGCAGGAGGAGCUGGCUGACUGUCUGCAGAGCAGAUCUCCUUUUGGAAUAUGCCAGCUUCAUCUUAAAUCUCAGCUGAAGCAGAAGUUUCAAUGUGUGUUUGAAGGCAUCGCUAAAGCAGGAAACCCAACCCCUCUGAACCAGAUCUACACAGAGCUCUACAUCACAGAGGGAGAGACUGGAGAGGUCAACGAUAACCAUGAGGUCAGACAGAUUGAAUCAGCCUCCAGGAAACAAUACAGAGCAGAAACAACCAUCAGACAAGAAGACAUAUUUAAAGGCUCAGCUGGAAGAGAUGGAGCCAUCAGAACAGUGAUGACAAAGGGAGUGGCUGGAAUUGGGAAAACAGUCCUAACACAGAAGUUCACUCUGGACUGGGCUGAAGACAAAGCCAACCAGGAAAUACAGUUCACAUUUCCAUUCACCUUCAGAGAGCUGAAUGUGCUGAAAGAGCAAAAGUUCAGCUUGGUGGAACUCGUUCAUCACUUUUUCACUGAAACCAAAACAGCAGGAAUCUGCAGGUUUGAUCAGUUCCAGGUUGUUUUCAUCUUGGACGGUCUGGAUGAGUGUCGACUUCCUCUGGACUUCAACAAGGCUAAAACCCUGACUGAUGUCACAGAGUCCACCUCAGUGGAUGUGCUGCUGACAAACCUGAUCAGGGGGAACCUGCUUCCCUCUGCUCGCCUCUGGAUCACCACACGACCUGCAGCAGCCAAUCAGGUCCCUCCUGGCUGUGUUGACCUGGUGACAGAGGUCAGAGGGUUCACUGACCUAAAGAAGGACGAGUACUUCAGGAAGAGGUUCACAGAUGAGCAGCAGGCCACAACAAUCAUCUCCCACAUCAAGACGUCACGAAGCCUCCACAUCAUGUGCCACAUCCCAGUCUUCUGCUGGAUCACUGCUACGGUUCUGGAGGACGUGUUGAAAACCAGAGAGGGAGGAGAGCUGCCCAGGACCCUGACUGAGAUGUACAUCCACUUCCUGGUGGUUCAGACCAAAGUGAAGAACAUCAAGUACGAUGAAGGAGCUGAGACAAAUCCACUCUUGAGUCCAGAGAACAGGAAGAUGAUUGAGUCUCUGGGAAAACUGGCUUUUGAGCAGCUGCAGAAAGGAAACGUGAUCUUCUAUGAGUCAGACCUGACAGAGUGUGGCAUCGAUAUCACAGCAGCCUCAGUUUACUCAGGAGUGUUCACACAGAUCUUUAAAGAGGAGAGAGGACUGUACCAGCACAAGGUGUUCUGCUUCAUCCAUCUGAGUGUUCAGGAGUUUCUGGCUGCUCUUCAUGUCCAUCUGACCUUCAAUAACUCUGAGGUCAACCUGCUGUCAGAAGAACAAUCAACACACCAAGAAACAAAAACAAAACAGUAUGUUGGAACACAGUUCUACAAUGAUGCUGUGGACAAGGUCUUAAAGACUCCAAAUGGACACCUGGACCUCUUCCUGCGUUUUCUCCUGGGACUUUCAGUGUCAAAUCAAAGUUUUCUUCUAAGUCUUAUGAAACAGAGCAGAAGUGACAUUGUUCCACACACAGUUCAGUACAUCAAGGAAAAGAUCUCAGAGCCUCUCCCUGCAGAGAAAAGCAUCAACUUGUUCCACUGUCUGAAUGAACUGAAUGAUUGUUCUCUAGUGGAGGAGAUCCAACAGUACCUGAGAUCAGGACGUCUGUCUACAGAUAAGCUGUCUCCUACUCAGUGGUCAGCGCUGGUCUUCGUGUUGGUGUCAUCAGGAAAUGAACUAGAUGAGUUUGACCUGAAGAAAUUCUAUGCUUCAGAGGAGGCUCUUCUAAAGCUGCUGCCUGUGGUCAAAGCUUCUAAGAACGCUCUACUAAGCGGCUGUAACCUGUCAGAAAGAAGCUGUGAAGCUCUGUCCUCAGUUCUCAGCUCUCAGUCCUCUAGUCUGAGAGAAUUGGACCUGAGUAACAACAACCUGCAGGAUUCAGGAGUGAAGCUACUGUGUGAUGGACUGAAGAGUCCUCACUGUCAACUGGAGACUCUCAGAUUGACAGGAUGUCUGGUCACAGAGGAAGGCUGUGCUUCACUGGUCUCAGCUCUGAGCUCCAACCCCUCUUAUCUGAGAGAGCUGGACCUGAGCUACAAUCAUCCAGGACACUUAGGAGAGAAGCUGCUGUCUGCUCAUCUACACUGUAAACUAAAAACUCUCAGGAUGGAGCCUGGUGGAGCCCAAUGGUUGAGACCAGGUCUGACCAAGUAUUUCUGUCAACUCACAAUCGACACAAACACAGUGAACAGAAAACUACAACUGUCUGACAACAACAAGAAGGUGACACAUGUGGAGGAGGAUCAGUCUUAUCCUGAUCAUCCAGACUGAUUUGAUCUGUGUCCUCAGCUGCUGUGUAGUGAUGGUCUGACUGGUCGCUGUUACUGGGAGGUUGAGUGGAGAGGAUGGGUUUAUGUAUCAGUGAGUUACAGAGGAAUUGAAAGAAAGGUUGAUGAAGACAGUUUGUUUGGAUGUAACAAUCAGUCCUGGAGGCUGAGCUGCUCUGAUGAUGGUUACUGUGUCUGGCACAAUAGCAGAAUAACACCCAUCUCCUCCUCUGAGUCCAACAGAGUAUCAGUGUAUGUGGACUGUCCUGCUGGUUCUCUCACCUUCUACAGUGUCUCCUCUGACAAAGUGAUCCACCUUCACACCUUCAACACUACAUUCACUGAACCUCUUUUUCCUGGGUUUGGGUUUGGUUAUUCUGGUUCCUCAGUGUCUCUGUGACAUUCUCAGUAGUGUGUUUAAAGUGUUGUUCUGCCAAAAAAUGCACUGUUUAACACUUAAUUCAGUCUGUUUAUGUCUGUCUCAUGUUUAGAUUCAUAUAUUAAAUCUGUUGCUUCCUGAA